UACGUAGGGUGCAAGCGUUAAUCGGAAUUACUGGGCGUAAAGCGUGCGCAGGCGGUUUUGUAAGUCUGUCGUGAAAUCCCCGGGCUCAACCUGGGAAUGGCGAUGGAGACUGCAAGGCUAGAGUUUGGCAGGAGGGGGGUAGAAUUCCACGUGUAGCAGUGAAAUGCGUAGAUAUGUGGAGGAACACCGAUGGCGAAGGCAGCCCCCUGGGUCAAAACUGACGCUCAUGACACGAAAGCGUGGGGAGCAAACAGG
rnacentral:rRNA from 1 species